rnacentral:lncRNA from 1 species
UCUUUCUCUCCUCUCUCCCUCUCUCUCUCCUCUUCUUUUUUCAUUUUGGCUUCUAUUCAAAUGUGGGUCAGGGGUGAGCGGCUCCCAACGUCACAAGCUUGCAAGAUGGCGCUGGGAGGAAGGCUGUGAGAUGAGGAACAGGCUGGUAUAAACCGAGAGGACAGGAGAGGGAGAGGAGGAGAGGGAAAGGGGAAGAAAAGCUGCUGCUCCAGAUGCAAUAAGAAGCGUCCCUGCUGGUUCUCCAUUCUGCAUCCGUGCAGCCACGUUCUAUUGAUGGCCUGUUGUGAUUUCAAUGGAACAUCAUGGGAUGUACCUGGCACGUCGGGCAGCACUGGAUGGAGGUGCCUUUAGCCCAAUGUACCUGGCAUGGUGGUAAGGUGAAGGU